rnacentral:misc_RNA from 1 species
GAAGAAAAAGGAAGUUAAAGAAACAGAUCUUAUUCAUGUGGAUGAACACAUUAAGAUGAAAGAGGUCAUUGUAGAAGGACCUCAUGGGCCACAAGUUGUAAUGCUAGAGAUUGAGGAUGAUGUGCAUGUUGAUGAAGUGAUCAAGAAGGAUGAGAAGUUGGGCAAAGGUUUACAUGCCAUGUCUGUGGAGGCUAAUUCUAGUAGUGCCAGUGCCCUUGAGGUGGGUGCAACUUCUUCCUCUUCUAAUCAUCCCCAGAUUGAUCACAAGGCCUGAUCCAUAUUAAAUUAUUAUUCCAUUAAUUAUUAAUAAAUUUCCUCUAAUCUUUAGGAUUGAAUGAAAUAAAAUCUGUACAAAACCCAAUGACAAGUUCAGGCACACUUUGUUGAUCCAAAAAGUUCAAGCAUACUUUAAUUUGUUCUGGUUCUUCAUUAAUUCAGAUUGUAGCAACGAAGAACUUGCAAUUUGAAUUCAGUGUCUAAUAGUCGAUCAGAUGUAUAAUUUAUUUUCUUAAUUAAGUAAUUGUGAUUAGUAGUUAAUGGUUACCAUAUAUUUAUGGUAUUGUGAUUAGUAGUUAAUGAGUAGCAUAUGUACUCAUGUAUUUGACAAAUGGGAUCGUUUUAAA